rnacentral:misc_RNA from 1 species
AACGCACACUGCGCCCCUUGGUAUUCCGGGGGGCAUGCCCGUUCGAGCGUCAUUACACCAAUCAAGCCUGGCUUGGUAUUGGGCCACGGGGGCGACCCGGGCCUCAAAGUCUUUCGGCUGGACGUCUCCAAUCUCAGCGUCGUGGUUAUUCAACUCGCUGCCGAGAGGGGGGGUCCGCGCCGGUAAACUCUUUCACCGGUUGACCUCGGAUCGGGUAGGAAUACCCGCUGAACUUAA